rnacentral:sRNA from 1 species
UAGCUGCUACGGUUUACGUAAAGUAAUUUCGUAUUUUUAUACAAAAAGGCGCAUUUUUAUGCGCCUUUUUU